GCACAAGCAGUGGAGUAUGUGGUUUAAUUCGAAGCAACGCGAAGAACCUUACCAGGUCUUGACAUCCCGAUGCUAUUUCUAGAGAUAGAAAGUUACUUCGGUACAUCGGUGACAGGUGGCGCAUGGUUGUCGUCAGCUCGUGUCGUGAGAUGUUGGGUUAAGUCCCGCAACGAGCGCAACCCCUAUUGUUAGUUGCCAUCAUUCAGUUGGGCACUCUAGCGAGACUGCCGGUAAUAAACCGGAGGAAGGUGGGAUGACGUCAAAUCAUCAUGCCCCUUAUGACCUGGGCUACACACGUGCUACAAUGGUUGGUACAACGAGUUGCGAGUCGGUGACGGCGAGCUAAUCUCUUAAAGCCAAUCUCAGUUCGGAUUGUAGGCUGCAACUCGCCUACAUGAAGUCGGAAUCGCUAGUAAUCGCGGAUCAGCACGCCGCGGUGGAUACGUUCCCGGGCCUU
rnacentral:rRNA from 1 species